rnacentral:rRNA from 1 species
UACGUAGGGUGCAAGCGUUGUCCGGAAUUAUUGGGCGUAAAGAGCUCGUAGGCGGUCUGUUGCGUCGGCUGUGAAAACCCGGGGCUCAACUCCGGGCCUGCAGCCGAUACGGGCAGACUAGAGUUCGGCAGGGGAGACUGGAAUUCCUGGUGUAGCGGUGAAAUGCGUAGAUAUCUGGAGGAAUACCGGUGGCGAAGGCGGCAUCCUGGACCGACAUUGACGCUGAGGAGCGAAAGCUAGGGGAGCAAACGGG